rnacentral:miRNA from 12 species
CCCCCCCCCCGGGCGGGUGCCGGAGCGGAGCGGAGCGGAGCGGAGCGCUCCCGGGAGCGCCGCUGCUGCCGGGCUCCCGGCGCUCCUGAGCUGCCAUCCGCGGGCUCGC